GAUGAACGCUGGCGGCGUGCCUAAUACAUGCAAGUCGAGCGAACGGACGAGAAGCUUGCUUCUCUGAUGUUAGCGGCGGACGGGUGAGUAACACGUGGAUAAACUACCUAUAAGACUGGGAUAACUUCGGGAAACCGGAGCUAAUACCGGAUAAUAUUUUGAACCGCAUGGUUCAAAAGUGAAAGACGGUCUUGCUGUCACUUAUAGAUGGAUCCGCGCUGCAUUAGCUAGUUGGUAAGGUAACGGCUUACCAAGGCAACGAUGCAUAGCCGACCUGAGAGGGUGAUCGGCCACACUGGAACUGAGACACGGUCCAGACUCCUACGGGAGGCAGCAGUAGGGAAUCUUCCGCAAUGGGCGAAAGCCUGACGGAGCAACGCCGCGUGAGUGAUGAAGGUCUUCGGAUCGUAAAACUCUGUUAUUAGGGAAGAACAUAUGUGUAAGUAACUGUGCACAUCUUGACGGUACCUAAUCAGAAAGCCACGGCUAACUACGUG
rnacentral:rRNA from 1 species